GUAAGGAAUAUUGGACAAUGGACGCAAGUCUGAUCCAGCCAUGCCGCGUGAAGGAUUAAGGUCCUCUGGAUUGUAAACUUCUUUUAUAAGGGACGAAAAAAGGCUUUUCUAAGUCGUCUGACGGUACCUUAUGAAUAAGCACCGGCUAACUCCGUGCCAGCAGCCGCGGUAAUACGGAGGGUGCAAGCGUUAUCCGGAUUCACUGGGUUUAAAGGGUGCGUAGGCGGGCAGGUAAGUCAGUGGUGAAAUCCUAGAGCUUAACUCUAGAACUGCCAUUGAUACUAUCUGUCUUGAAUAUUGUGGAGGUAAGCGGAAUAUGUCAUGUAGCGGUGAAAUGCUUAGAUAUGACAUAGAACACCUAUUGCGAAGGCAGCUUACUACGCAUAUAUUGACGCUGAGGCACGAAAGCGUGGGGAUCAAACAGGAUUAGAAACCCCGGUAGUCC
rnacentral:rRNA from 1 species